UUAUUCUGUUGGUAACGUCAAAACAGUAAGGUAUUAACUUACUGCCCUUCCUCCCAACUUAAAGUGCUUUACAAUCCGAAGACCUUCUUCACACACGCGGCAUGGCAGGAUCAGGCUUUCGCCCAUUGUCCAAUAUUCCCCACUGCUGCCUCCCGUAGGAGUCUGGACCGUGUCUCAGUUCCAGUGUGACUGAUCAUCCUCUCAGACCAGUUACGGAUCGUCGCCUUGGUAGGCCUUUACCCCACCAACUAGCUAAUCCGACCUAGGCUCAUCUGAUAGCGUGAGGUCCGAAGAUCCCCCACUUUCUCCCUCAGGACGUAUGCGGUAUUAGCGCCCGUUUCCGGACGUUAUCCCCCACUACCAGGCAGAUUCCUAGGCAUUACUCACCCGUCCGCCGCUGAAUCCAGGAGCAAGCUCCCUUCAUCCGCUCGACUUGCAUGUGUUAGGCCUGCCGCCAGCGUUCAAUCUGAGCCAGGAUCAAACUCUG
rnacentral:rRNA from 1 species